rnacentral:rRNA from 1 species
UCCGGUUGAUCCUGCCGGAGGCCACUGCUAUCGGGGUCCGACUAAGCCAUGCGAGUCAUGGGGCUCCCUUUUGGGAGCACCGGCGAACGGCUCAGUAACACGUGGCUAACCUACCCUCGGGUGGGGGAUAACCUCGGGAAACUGAGGCUAAUCCCCCAUAGGGGAGGAGGUCUGGAAUGAUCCCUCCCCGAAAGGCGUAAGCCGCCCGAGGAUGGGGCUGCGGCGGAUUAGGUAGUUGGUGGGGUAAUGGCCCACCAAGCCUACGAUCCGUACGGGCCCUGAGAGGGGGAGCCCGGAGAUGGACACUGAGACACGGGUCCAGGCCCUACGGGGCGCAGCAGGCGCGAAACCUCCGCAAUGCGCGAAAGCGCGACGGGGGGACCCCGAGUGCCCUGCCUCUGGCAGGGCUUUUCCGGAGUGUAAACAGCUCCGGGAAUAAGGGCUGGGCAAGUCCGGUGCCAGCAGCCGCGGUAAUACCGGCGGCCCAAGUGGUGGCCACUGUUAUUGGGCCUAAAGCGUCCGUAGCCGGCCCGGUAAGUCUCUGCUUAAAUCCCGCGGCUUACCCGCGGGGCUGGCAGAGAUACUGCCGGGCUUGGGACCGGGAGAGGCCGGGGG